rnacentral:rRNA from 2 species
GGCGACGUGCGGCGUGCCUAUACAUGCAGUCGAGCGAAUGGAUUAAGAGCUUGCUCUUAUGAAGUUAGCGGCGGACGGGUGAGUAACACGUGGGUAACCUGCCCAUAAGACUGGGAUAACUCCGGGAAACCGGGGCUAAUACCGGAUAACAUUUUGAACCGCAUGGUUCGAAAUUGAAAGGCGGCUUCGGCUGUCACUUAUGGAUGGACCCGCGUCGCAUUAGCUAGUUGGUGAGGUAACGGCUCACCAAGGCAACGAUGCGUAGCCGACCUGAGAGGGUGAUCGGCCACACUGGGACUGAGACACGGCCCAGACUCCUACGGGAGGCAGCAGUAGGGAAUCUUCCGCAAUGGACGAAAGUCUGACGGAGCAACGCCGCGUGAGUGAUGAAGGCUUUCGG